GAUGCAGCGGGAGACGUAAUGCCUAUUCAUGUGUUUGUCUCAACGAUAGCUAGUGUAAACGAGAUGCCUAUUCUCCUAUUUGCAAAAUUUGUUGUAUAGCUCAUCCAAGUUCUUAAUGCUGGCUUGAUCAAACGAAAUCUAAAAUUACCAGUUAACAAGGAUUGAAAAUGACAAGUUAUUUUAUAGUGGUGUUUUCCUAUAUUACAACGUGUGAUGCAAUAUUAUUUAACCGGAACAGUAGCUGCGAAAAUAUUUCUAUGGAAGAGCGCUACUUGCCACCAGCAUCCGAAGAUUAUCCACCUUCCGAGGAGGAAGACCCUGACAAGCGUCCUGAUAUAUGCCUGUUACGACCAGAGCCUGGAAUAUGCCCCGAGACGGAAUCAAUGACGCAGUGGUUCUUUGACAGCAGCAUGGGAGCUUGCACCACUUUUACGUACAACGGAUGCGAUGGAAACGAUAACAGGUUUUCAUCUUGCCAAGAAUGCAUGGAACAAUGUAAAUCUGAUAUAUGUGCUGCACCAAACAAGCACUGAUGACACCAGCAGCAUCUCUUAAAAGCCGUGGAAAUAUACGAUUGCGUUGCGGACACCUAAUUCUGCUGCAAAAGAUAGCUGUAUUGCUCACUUUCAGUCAAAUGUCUUACCUGUAUGCAGCAGAACUCUUAGCCAUAGAGAUCUUCCCGCUUGAGACUUCAAGUCCCGAACAGCGCCAUAAUUCCCCCGAACAGCGCCGUUGACUGAACUUUCAAGAGAAAAUAAAACACUGCAGAUACUU